AUGAGCAUCGUUCGGGGAAGGUAAGAACCUUAUAACAAGGUUCAAGUCUCACAAAGUGAGACAAUGCCUUCAAACAGUUCGCGCCGCGUAACGGAAGUUGCUGGCACGAAGGGUGAAGAGUUAAGCGACGAACAAUCCUUCUCUCCACCU
rnacentral:sRNA from 2 species